rnacentral:rRNA from 1 species
CAAGGUCUCCGUUGGUGAACCAGCGGAGGGAUCAUUACCGAGUUUACAACUCCCAAACCCCAAUGUGAACGUUACCAAUCUGUUGCCUCGGCGGGAUUCUCUGCCCCGGGCGCGUCGCAGCCCCGGAUCCCAUGGCGCCCGCCGGAGGACCAACUCAAACUCUUUUUUCUCUCCGUCGCGGCUUCCGUCGCGGCUCUGUUUUACCUUUGCUCUGAGCCUUUCUCGGCGACCCUAGCGGGCGUCUCGAAAAUGAAUCAAAACUUUCAACAACGGAUCUCUUGGUUCUGGCAUCGAUGAAGAACGCAGCGAAAUGCGAUAAGUAAUGUGAAUUGCAGAAUUCAGUGAAUCAUCGAAUCUUUGAACGCACAUUGCGCCCGCCAGUAUUCUGGCGGGCAUGCCUGUCCGAGCGUCAUUUCAACCCUCGAACCCCUCCGGGGGGUCGGCGUUGGGGAUCGGCCCCUCACCGGGCCGCCCCCGAAAUACAGUGGCGGUCUCGCCGCAGCCUCUCCUGCGCAGUAGUUUGCACACUCGCACCGGGAGCGCGGCGCGGCCACAGCCGUAAAACACCCCAAACUCUGAAAUGUUGACCUCGGAUCAGGUAGGAAUACCCGCUGAACUUAAGCAUAUCAAU